rnacentral:rRNA from 1 species
AACGGAUCUCUUGGCUCUCGCAUCGAUGAAGAACGCAGCGAAAUGCGAUAAGUAAUGUGAAUUGCAGAAUUCAGUGAAUCAUCGAAUCUUUGAACGCACCUUGCGCUCCUUGGUAUUCCGAGGAGCAUGCCUGUUUGAGUGUCAUGAAAUUCUCAA